UACAGGGGGGGCAAGCGUUGUUCGGAAUUACUGGGCGUAAAGGGCGUGUAGGCGGCCAACUAAGUCCGACGUGAAAUCCCCAGGCUUAACCUGGGAACUGCGUCGGAUACUGGAUGGCUUGAAUCCGGGAGAGGGAUGCAGAAUUCCAGGUGUAGCGGUGAAAUGCGUAGAUAUUGGGAGGAACACCAGUGGCGAAGGCGGCUCUCUGGACCGGUACUGACGCUGAGACGCGAAAGCCAGGGGAGCAAACGGG
rnacentral:rRNA from 1 species